rnacentral:tRNA from 1 species
GUUUUUAUAGUUUAAAUUAAAACAUUGGUCUUGUAAACCAAAAAUAAGAAAUUUCUUUUGAAACU